UGAAAUUCCUCUGUAUCGGUCGAGGAUCUUGACACUACUGGGACGACUGGCGAGGACGCGCUCUCGUAUUGUCCUCUCUGCGCGCUCCCGUGCCACCUUCAGUUCCAGUAGUUUCCUCCGCAAUGUCCUGUUUUCUUUCCGGCUUUGAGUUAUUUCCAAACGAAACACUGCAUAGUCGUCGUCUACGAGUUUACAGAUCUCUGCCACGGCUGCAUUCGCUAGCACCUCCACGAUGGAGGCUAUUUGAGUGUGAAAAACCAUACAGUUAGCCAUUGUUAGCAGCUAGCUAGCGUUACGUAGAGAACAUCUAUCAACCAAGUCCCGUCUCUAGCGCGAAUUAAGCACUACAUGGGGUCUCACAAAGACGAUUGAUGCGCUCGCAAAACUUUGAGACUGUGAGGGAGUGAAGUACAGAAGAACAAGUGUCAUCAACCACCUCUAUUGGCCUUCAUCAACCUCAGUCUGGCAAAGAAACAGUGCCAAAGUGGACAUCAGCUGAAAAUCACAUACAACACACCUACACCCAUGACAAUGCCCUCUACCCAAACUGUCUCCACGGAGCCCUUGAGGAACGCAAAUGGCUAAAACCAAGCACCAAGGCUGGGGAAACACUGCCUGCCAUCAUACUGAACACACGCCUCCUGAAAGAUGUGAAGAUUAGCCCUCUAUACCAGACCUUUGCAAUUGAGGACUUCCACAGGCUGAUUUUGAUUUUUGCACCCAAUAAUUCGAUUUAUUCCUUCCCUGGCAUGCUGUGCAGGUAACCAUGCAUAUUUUUCCAUCUCUCUACAUUUGUAGACUGUUGCUUGCUGCAUUGCAUUGGAACGAGAAUGCCAACUGGCCACCAGCAACAACUGCUGCAGGGGAGCUGAGAUACGAGAUACAUUUCCCCAAUGUUCAAGAAAGGGGAAUAUUCUGUCUCUUGUAUUUGGGAAGUUCUAUUUCAUCCCGCCACAAAUACUU